AGACAAGAAUAAUUUCUUUAUAAAGUACUCUAAAGACUAAAACUAGAACUGGUUAGCCCUGUUUCUAAGAGACAUUUGAAUGUAAAACUAGAACUUUAAGAUAAUAGGCACCAGGGGACUGGGAGAUGGCUAAUAAGCAUUGAUAAAGUUUCUGCAUAGUACUGAGGUCACAGUCCUGGCCAGGUAUGGAACUCCUAGGAUGGAGGGGGUGUAAUCUCUUGGGGAGUGUGUCAAAGUCAUCUUCGCUACAUAGAGUUCCAAUCCAGCCUUGGCUGCGUGAGAGCUUGUCUCAAAAAAUAUAUAUAAGCAUGUGUAUAUAUUCCAGUUGCGAAGUAGGCCUCCUACCUGCAUUGUUAAAUGCAGACCAGAUAAAGCAUCAUAGUGUUCAGAGGGAUUUUCAAAGUCAUGUAGCCCAAUAUCCUCUUUCUACAGUUAAAGAACCAGUUAGCCAAGUGCAGUGGUGUAUAGACUCAGCUAUGUGGGAGGCUGAGACAGAAGGACCACUGAGUUGGAGGCUGUCCUGGGCAGC
rnacentral:lncRNA from 1 species